GUGGUGGCAUGUAUUUGGUAGAGGUGGCCAAUGGGGCGGCCCGGCACCGGUCCAAAAUGGGCCGGGUUGGGUUUGGGAUUCGCGAGUUUAGGCCCGAGCAUAGCACGAGCCCGAUAAGAACUAGCUCUAGUCCAGCAUGAUGGACAGGGCCCGAUCCGGCAUGAUUAGGACCGUUAUGGGCCUAUCCAGGCUCGUAAUGAUAAUAUAAUAGAUAUUUUUUUUAAUUUUAAAUGAUAAAAUUUCAAGAAAACAUCACUUUUUUAUCCUCCCC
rnacentral:lncRNA from 1 species